ensembl:lncRNA
AAUUAGGAGGUUUGUGUUGUGUUCUGCUGCUUUUUAUCUGUUAGAGGCUGGUUCUGUUGAGUGACAGCAUGGGGAGCAACUUCAGCAUGCAGACCUGCUGUGGGAGUUGUAAGAAGCAGGAGGAAGCAUAUGAAGAGACUAGUGAGACCAAGCCAAUUCUGCACACCUCAGGGGGCACACCAAUGCACACUGAUACGCAACCUCCCCCACCAGCCCUGGAAGCCUCUGAAAGAAUCUCUGAAGAAGCUCAAAGAGGCUGAAGUCCUGGAUCAGCAAGAAGGAGAGAAAGCAUGUAAUGCAGAAGAGAAAAUAAAACCUACUCCUUAUGAUGAGGCCCAGCUGGCUAUGCACACAGCUCAGGAUCUGAAGCUUGUUGCAGAUAUAGGACAGCCUGCUGAACAGGCUGGGGCUGGCAGUGAGGAUGACCAACAUGCUGAAAUAACUCCCCAAGAAAUAAAUAAUCUCGAGCUCAUGGAAAGCACAUGGGAAACUGCAGCUGCUCAAGACUUUGAGAUAGAGCCUCCCAUGGAGACUGGUGAGAGUUUCACAGGAUGGAACUUGCCACUCUGUGUUGUGCAGAAGAUGGCAAAAGAGGCUGAGACCGACCUUCGUGCUGGGCACACAGAGCAGGCAGACAGGGCUGGCCUUGCUGAAGGAAGUACUGAACUCACUGAGAGUGUCCAGAUCACACCUCUUGCAAAGGCUGCCUCUCUAAUGAAUGUGCAGGCUGCAGAGGAGACUGAGAAUGCAGUGGAUCCUUCAGAAGCCAUAGUGAAUGCUGUGGCUGAGAUGCACUCUGUUUCUGCAGUGCCUCAGGAAACCCUGUAUCCAGGAGGGCAGACUCCAGAGCCAGCCAACCAGCUGCUUGACUUCUUACAGCAAGAGGCUCAGUCUGGUGUGCCAACUGCACGAGAGGUGCAGAGCCAAAGCUGUGCAGAACCUGCUGAACUCGGUGAGGUUUUAAGUGAUGAAGACCAGGAAGUCCUUUGUGAUACAGCGGACAGUGAGGAGAGCAGGGAAUGUGAUCUGGAAACUCCAGCAGAUGAGGCAGAGCCACAGGAGAGCGUUGUGCAACAAAUGCUGCAGCUUCCAGCAGAACUGGCUUGUGCUCAGAUGCCUGCAGAGGAAGAAGCUGAGUUUCUCAGUGUGGUACCCUUGCUGUAUGAAGUGCCUGGGAGUGGAGGAGAUGGACAGGUUGAAAAUGCUGAAGCUUGAGAGAAGUGAGGAUGGAUGGGUUGGUAUUCAGUGCCUUUGGGAAUUUCAGCCCCCACCCCCCCCAAAAAAAGCAAUUAUCUCAGCCUUUUGAACCCAAUGUUUGUUUUUUUUCAAGUGUGUCCUGGACUUCAGAAAGUGACUUUGCUAAAGAGAUGUGUGAGGUGUGCAAUAGAUGUUUCUAGAAAUUCUCCUGUGUUAUAGCUUGGUUGUGCUUCUGUUUAGUAGCUGAUUUGCAGGAGAUCUUGCUUUACUGGGAGAGGAGUGAUUCACUUCAAUAGUGGUUUCACUGAAGGAAUGCUGAGCACUGCAUCCCCCAGUGUGGUACAGUGAUAGGAGGUUCCAGUGCAAAGUCUUACAAGUCUGUGGACAGGACAGACAAAAGCUCCUCUAACCCAGCACAGUCAGAUGCCUUCUGUAGCUCACAGACACCGAAUCAAACCUUCCAACCACCUCCUUUUCUACUUACACAUUUGGUGACUGUUACUUUGGAAGCAUUGAACGUGCUUUCAUGAGUCAAUGAAAUAAUACUCUGGUUUGUUCUUUGUAUUUCUGGUGAUAGCUGAUACAAUCUGUACUCUGUGCAGAACUUAAAGAAACAAAUGUAGUCUUGAUCAGAAUGCAUAAGUCAGUGUAUUGCGGUUUAAAUCUACUGACUUUUAAUGUUCAUGACUUUAUGAUACCAAUAAAAUAUUUUAAGAUC